rnacentral:rRNA from 1 species
CGUAGGAGGCGAGCGUUAUCCGGAUUCACUGGGCGUAAAGCGCGUGCAGGUGGCUUGGUAAGUUAGGCGUGAAAUCUCCCGGCUCAACUGGGAGAGGUCGUCUAAUACUACCGGGCUAGAGAGCAGAAGAGGAAGAUGGAAUUCCCGGUGUAGUGGUGAAAUGCGUAGAUAUCGGGAGGAACACCAGUGGCGAAGGCGACCUUCUGGUCUGUUUCUGACACUCAGACGCGACAGCUAGGGUAGUAAACGGGAUUAGAGACCCCGGUAAUCCUAGCCGUAAACGAUGUGAACUUGGCGUUGGUGGGUUAAACUCCAUCAGUGCCGCAGCAAACGCGAUAAGUUCACCGCCUGGGGACUACGGCCGCAAGGUUA